AUGCUACAGAAGUUAAAAGGAAAAGAAAAAAAAAACUAUGGUACUAGUACUAUGGACAUUAUAAAUAUAUUUAUGUACAUUAUGAGGUUCUUCUCAAUCCUGUAUAAUGUGGCCAUGGCCUUUAUUUUUGGGAUUGUAAAGAAGAUGAAUGUGAUUCCACUAGUAUUGACCAGAGGACAUGCACGUCUUCGUAGGGGCAAGAUUUGA